rnacentral:rRNA from 1 species
UACGGGGGGGGCAAGCGUUGUUCGGAAUUACUGGGCGUAAAGGGCUCGUAGGCGGCCAACUAAGUCAGACGUGAAAUCCCUCGGCUUAACCGGGGAACUGCGUCUGAUACUGGAUGGCUUGAGUUUGGGAGAGGGAUGCGGAAUUCCAGGUGUAGCGGUGAAAUGCGUAGAUAUCUGGAGGAACACCGGUGGCGAAGGCAAUCCCCUGGACCUGCACUGACGCUCAUGCACGAAAGCGUGGGGAGCAAACAGG